rnacentral:rRNA from 1 species
CCUACGGGGGGCUGCAGUGGGGAAUAUUGCACAAUGGGCGCAAGCCUGAUGCAGCCAUGCCGCGUGUGUGAAGAAGGCCUUCGGGCUGUAAAGCACUUUCAGCGGGGAGGAAGGCGUUAAGGUUAAUAACCUUGGCGAUUGACGUUACCCGCAGAAGAAGCACCGGCUAACUCCGUGCCAGCAGCCGCGGUAAUACGGAGGGUGCAAGCGUUAAUCGGAAUUACUGGGCGUAAAGCGCACGCAGGCGGUUUGUCAAGUCGGAUGUGAAAUCCCCGGGCUCAACCUGGGAACUGCAUUCGAAACUGGCAGGCUAGAGUCUUGUAGAGGGGGGUAGAAUUCCAGGUGUAGCGGUGAAAUGCGUAGAGAUCUGGAGGAAUACCGGUGGCGAAGGCGGCCCCCUGGACAAAGACUGACGCUCAGGUGCGAAAGCGUGGGGAGCAAACAGGAUUAGAUACCCUUGUAGUC